rnacentral:rRNA from 1 species
AUUGAACGCUGGCGGCAGGCCUAACACAUGCAAGUCGAGCGAGCGGCGGACGGGUGAGUAAUGUCUGGGAAACUGCCUGAUGGAGGGGGAUAACUACUGGAAACGGUAGCUAAUACCGCAUACCAUCAGAUGUGCCCAGAUGGGAUUAGCUAGUAGGUGGGGUAACGGCUCACCUAGGCGACGAUCCCUAGCUGGUCUGAGCGGAUGACCAGCCACACUGGAACUCAGACACGGUCCAGACUCCUACGGGGGGCAGCAGUGGGGAAUAUUGCACAAUGUGCGCAGGCCUGAUGCCGCCAUGCUGCGUGUGUGAAGAAUGCCUUCGGGUUGUAAAGCACUUUCAGCGGUGAGGCGUUACCCGCAGAAGAAGCACCGGCUAACUCCGUGCCAGCAGCCGCGUAAUUC